ensembl:snRNA U6 U6 spliceosomal RNA
GUGCUUACUUCAGCAGCACAUAUACUAAAAUUGGAACAAUACAGAGAUUAGCAUGGCCCCUGCACAAAGAUGACACACAAAUUCGUGAAGCAUUCCAUGUUUUU